CGAUCACCCUGCGAUCAUGACUCUAGCCAAGGGCAGAUGCUUAAUGACUGAGCCACCCAGGUGUCCCUAAAACAUAUUUUCCAUAGUAAGCAAACAGACAACUAUAUUUAUUUAUCUUCAUUUUUUUAAGUAGGCUCCACGUCCAAUGUGGGGAUCAAACUCAUGACCCUGAGAUCUAGAGAAGCGUGUUCUACUGCUCUAGCCAGGAGCCCCAAGCAGGAAGACAGAAAAUAAUGACCAUUUCCAGAAAGAAGAUAAUUUACUAAGAGCAGACUAAACAUUCCAAAGAGAUGACACAUUUGACCCGUUUGGACCACGUCCAGCAGAGGGAGAGCAGCCCAGUAGACCACAGUUAAGAAUUUGAGCGUUUCACGUUUGUGAUUCCAUUUCCUGGAAGGGUUUCAUUAACUCUGUGUUUUGGAGGCAGAGGAAAGAGGAGACCGAGUUUGAAUUUAAGCCAUUUCGUGUACCAGGGAAAUGGUCUCAGGUGAGUCUCUGGGCUUUCGCUUCUGGAUCAGGUAACCGUGGGAGUAACUGCAGCCUGGCAGGACUGUGCAAAGAAAGGUUCAAGGAAUUCCUAUCUCGUGCGGUUCUGGACACAUGAUGGACGAACAGUUCAGGGCACUGCCCCAGUGAAAGCGUGAGGAUUUGCCAGGCGGUUUGCAAUGAAUGAAUAUUGCCCAGAAGUGAUAAACUCUCAGAAACCAGAGAGAUCUGGUUAUUUAGUCGACUUUAGUUUUUAACUUUUUCUGAGCCCAACACUUAUGUUCAUGGGAAAUUUGAGACAACCCGCCCCUUUAGUAUUGCAAACGCCCUGCCCCAGGCUUCAGGGCCUCAGGCAAAUAAAUAGUAACUACAUCCCUGAGGAUGACUGCUUUCUGGGGGCCCCAGUGCUUCCAGUAGCUUCAUGGCACGCUCUUCCUGGACCAAGGGGAGAGGGUUACAGCCAUACACUGACUCCCGUGCAGACUCUGACGCAAGCGAGCACGCUCCCCCUACAAUCCUAAGAGAUGACCUUGGGCUCACUUGCUGAGAAAAGCUGUUUUUGUGUUUCCUAUGAUGAUAUAUCGCAUGCAAACUGAUUAAAAAAAACAACAAUCUUAAAAGUUCAAGACAAGGUCACAAGAAAUGUCAGCCAGGCAGUCAGCAAAUCCUUUUUCAUGGAAUAAGUUGUUUACACUUUACUUCCAAGAGGACAUUGUGCAACAUCUGUGUAUCUACGUGAACAGUGAAUAGCUCGGCACCUGUCCAGUCUCAACCCUGGAUUUGGGAAAGAUGGGAAAGAUGAGGGCAUGGCUACCACCAAAAACGGGAGGAAGGGCCCAGUCCCUGGUGGUCUUGCCAACUGGCUCAGAAGUCAAACCAUCAGGGGACUGGCCUCCCUGUGCUUCGUUCCCAGAGGGAGCAGCAGAAACAAACAUUCUCAAAGACUCCUGUCCAUUUCAGAACUUAAUAUUCCUGUAUUUCUGAUUGUUGCCUCCCAUACAUUCCCUAGCUUGAGAGCUUAUGUUUAAGGGUAUUGUUUUACACACCCACCACCC